GGAUUGUAGCUCAGUGGUAGAGUGCUUGUCUAGCAGGUGUGAGGCCCUUGGUUUGAUCCCCAGCACCA
rnacentral:tRNA from 1 species